rnacentral:rRNA from 1 species
UGGCGGACGGGUGAGUAAUGUCUGGGAAACUGCCCGAUGGAGGGGGAUAACUACUGGAAACGGUAGCUAAUACCGCAUAACGUCGCAAGACCAAAGAGGGGACCUUCGGGCCUCUCGCCAUCGGAUGUGCCCAGAUGGGAUUAGCUAGUAGGUGGGGUAACGGCUCACCUAGGCGACGAUCCCUAGCUGGUCUGAGAGGAUGACCAGCCACACUGGAACUGAGACACGGUCCAG